AGAAUAGUGGGCUCCUAAACAUGUCUACAUCCCAAUGCCCAGGACCUGUUACCUUACAUGGUAAAAGACACUUUGCAGAUGUGAUUAAGCCUGAACAAUCCAUCAGCAACCCAUGAGCCAGCAGAACAAAAGAUGACAGAACUGGGGCUGGCAGAGCAAGGAAUGAAAAAGAACAGAUCAGUGUUCAGUUUGAAAGAGCCAUAAUUCAGCGGUCUUUCUAUAUUACCUCUCAGAGGAAGUAGCCUGCGUGUCUAAAGAGAGAAGGGAAGUUUAAGUACUGGAAAAAAGGAAAGUCUUCAGCCUUGGGAAUGUAAUAACCUGGGGUCAGCUGAGAACCCUGAGGAAGACUGACCCAAUCAGCUGCUGGGAGAAGCAACAUAACUGCUCUGCUGGAGGGAGAAACAAAUUCUAAUCAGAUUUAUUUGACAAGAAAUCUUAAGAGUCCUCACUUGCUGGGAGCUCAGAGAAAGUGAUCAUAAGCCAGUUGCUCAAAGACCGGUGUGGAAAGGGCUUAAGAAGGAAGAGGACCAGAGGGAAAUUACCAUCUGGAGACAAGAUGACACUGGGAACUUGGAGGAAAACGUUCAGGUACCGUAUGAGGAAGCAGAACACUGGUUGUAGGUUGUGUAUCAAUGGCUUUCUAUGAGUAAAUGACCUGAAAAUGUAUGUGACUAAGCAACAUAAUGUGGAUUUCUGAAAGCUGAAUGACUUAAAGAAAAAUCUGCUUAUUUCUAAGAAAACCAACAAGUGGUUUCUUUCAGUAAGUUA